rnacentral:rRNA from 1 species
CCUACGUGAGGCAGCAGUGAGGAAUAUUGGUCAAUGGACGAGAGUCUGAACCAGCCAAGUAGCGUGAAGGAUGACUGCCCUAUGGGUUGUAAACUUCUUUUAUAAAGGAAUCAAACGAGGCACGUGUGCCUUUUUGCAUGUACUUUAUGAAUAAGGAUCGGCUAACUCCGUGCCAGCAGCCGCGGUAAUACGGAGGAUCCGAGCGUUAUCCGGAUUUAUUGGGGUUAAAGGGAGCGUAGAUGGGUUGUUAAGUCAGCGGUAAAAGCCCGGGGCUCAACCCCGGCGAGCCGUUGAAACUGGCUGUCUUGAGAUGUCGAGAGGUAUGCGGAAUGCGCAGUGUAGCGGUGAAAUGCGUAGAUAUAUGGAAGAACACCAGUGGCGAAAGCGGCUCUCUGGUCUGUAACUGACGCUGAGGUUCGAAAGCGUGGGUAGCAAACAGGAUUAGAUACCCUAGUAGUC